rnacentral:tmRNA from 1 species
GGGGAUGAAGGGUUUCGACAGGGCAGCUUGAAGGAAUUGGUUGCACUCCGAGUUUCAGCAUGGGUGGACUCGUUAAAGAAGCCUAUGUAAAUGUAGAUGCGAACGACUACUCGUACGCAAUGGCUGCUUAAUUAGUAAAAACUAACUAACCAGCCAUCGCCCUAAGACAAUCGCGCUUACUCGAGUGUCUUACUGGCGUCAGCCCGCGCUUGAGCGCCUUACGGCAGCUCGCGCAGUAAGCCGUGCAUCGUCUCUUCUCGGCGGAGAUGCACGCCCACAGUCGAGAUAGCUUUUUGACCAACGUCGGCAUUGUCGUAAAAAGCGAACUCCAACUGCCGAAGAUGAGUGUGGUAGCCUGUUCUAACACUACUCUGGACGCGGGUUCGACUCCCGCCAUCUCCACAA